UCAGCCUAUUACUGACACAGCCUUCAGUCUCUAUACUGUUCUCAGGAUAUUAAAAUUAAACUAAAACUGCCACAGUCUUCUCAGAACACCAAACUGGCUCUCAGUAUAUCUACAGUAGGAAAACUAGAUCUGAUUACAGCCCAUUCCAGUGCCAACUUAACCUGGUUCCCAUGGUGAACACAGAAGCUGUGACAUGGGCUUUCAUGUGUGCCAGCAACCAGCCAUGCCCCUCGAGACACUGAUCACUAAUUCAAGCCAGAGGCACACCAUGCCUAAUGAAGAAAAUGAAGAAAGCAAUAGUAGAUUUCUUAAGAAAUCACCUGGCAGCAAGAGUUAGGAGCACAUCAAUAUUCAGCCAGCCAGCCACAUAGCAUAUGAAAACUUUGAUGGAAAAAACAGCAGGACUGGAUGAACUCUUACAAAAUAAAAAGCCAGUGUUGCAUGCUGUAGAUGUA